rnacentral:rRNA from 1 species
GACGAACGCUGGCGGCGUGCUUAACACAUGCAAGUCGAAGAUAGUGGCGAACGGGUGAGUAAUACGUGGGUAACCUGCCCUCCUUUUUGGGAUAAGCCUUGGAAACGGGGUCUAAUACCGAAUAAAGGGGGAUGGGCUCGCGGCCUGUCAGCUGGUUGGUGGGGUGAUGGCCUACCAAGGCGGUGACGGGUAGCCGGCCUGAGAGGGUGACCGGCCAGAUGGGGACGGAGAGACGGCCCAGGCUCCUACGGGAGGCAGCAGUGGGGGAUAUUGCACAAUGUGUGAAAGCCUGAUGCAGCGUCGGCGCGGGGGGGAUGACGGCUGUCGGGUUGUAAACCUCGUUCUCUAUCGCUCGGGUAGGUGGAGAAGAAGCGCCGGCUAACUACGUGCCAGCAGCCGCGGUAAUUC